AAAAAACGCCAAGGGUUAACAACAUUAACCUUGUUUAUAAAGGCUUGAAUCACUUUGGUCGACUUGGAUUGGGAAGAAUGAUUUAAGUAUGGAUUAAUCCAGCAGUUGAAGUCUCCACCUAAGAUUAAAUCAUACAUGGACAAGUCAGGUAGCAUUGAGAAAACCUGUCUAAAAAAGACUCAUCAUCCCAGUUGGGGGCAUAAAAAUGUGUCCUAUGACCUGCAAUAAACCUGCCACCAGAAUCAGACAUUGUCUCAAUAUAAACAAAAGGAAUAUCAAAAGGAUUUGGCUCCCCCCUGUGGACCGAAGCAGAGAGAGCAUCAAAGAUAACAAAAGGUAAAAGGAGGAGAGAAGGAAACAAGGGAGGAGAAGAGGAAAUAAGGAAGGAGGGGAGGAGGAAACAAAGGAGAGGGGAAGGAAACAAAAGAAGGGAGGAUGAAAUAAGGGAGGAGAAAGGAGGAAUAGAGGUAGUUCAGGCAGGUCGCUGAGUCAAGCUGAUCUUAAACCAGCCCUCAGUUAGCUUACAGCUCAGGUGAUCGCCCUCUACACAUCCUAUUGGCUAAUGUCAAAAUGGCGCCCUAUUUAAACUGCUUCUCCUGUCUACUCUGCGUUUUUGCGUUUUCCUACCUUGCUCUUCAUCAUGUCGAUCCCUGCCCACGACAAGGAUCCACGGCAGAUUGACUGCUUUCUGAAACGCAGCACCAGCAUGUGAGGUCGAGGAAGCCAGUCCUUGCAAUGACAGAUGCGUUCCCUUCCGCACGAGCUCUCCUCUGGCAAGUAAAACUUUUAUGUCUCCCAGCUUCAUGAAGUCCAGGCUCCCGGAAGUCCUUUAAAGAUAACAUCACAGCUCCCGGUGGUGCCUCACAUCAAUAUCCACAUAGAGCCCCCACUUGCAGUUCUCUCUUCCUCCUCUGUAUCCAGAAAAGCGACCGAGAAAAGAAAACGCUGUUCCCGCCGCGUCACCGCCGCCGCCCGCAGAGCGCGAGGCCCAACCCCAGCCACCAGAACCGCGGACGUGGACGACAAUCCCAUCCUGAAAGCACUAUCCAGCAUCCAGCCAUCGCUCGCCCACAUGUCUUCGAGGAUCGAAGCCCCAGAAUCCGGUUCGGUACGUGCUAAGCUGUCCUCCUUCAUCCCAGCUGUCACCUUCUUUCACCGCGCUGAACGAUGACGUCACUCCAGCGACAACCUACGACAGCGUCACGAUCCCGCCAAAGACCCUGGGAAGUGCAGUCCCCGUCGCCACCGGCGUCCCAUUCUUCCCUCCCGCGGCUGCAAUUACACCGAAUCUGCGGAGCCAAAUCCUCGAAGGUACCGACAUUAAUCUUGUAAAUAAUCUUGCUGUGCUCCGACUACAACGAUAGACGCAUUGUGGAUUGCGGAGAUGAGUCUGUGAUGCUUAAAUAUCGUGAUGCGCGUCUGUUUAAAUCUCCGACCUUAGCUGAAUUCAUGUAGCUUUCUGCGUAUUUGGAAAUGUCAUAUGUGAAGUGUUUUCAGCACGCAGAACUGAACUGGACACAUAUCUUGCCAUUAUUUCUGAUUCAGACAUGACUUAUGGAAGAAUAUUAUUCUAGGAAUCUCACAAAUCAUUUUCAGCAAAGCUGCUAAGUACAUUCAAAGAUUCAACCAGACUUGAUUAGUCCGUAGGCGACCUGGCUCAACUCGACUUAGCAUCAAGCUUUUUCUUGUUCAAGCUGUGGGUCUUCCUCUCACACCCAGAGUAAGCCAGGAAGCAGGUAUGCAGCGGUACACAGCAGUACGCUGUUAAAUAGAUAAAUGAUUAUUAAAUAAACAAAUAAAUAGAUUUUAUGUUCAAGAGAGGGAGAGAGAGAUGCAGCAGAUGAUGGUACUGUGGCAUCAGAGUCGGCACCUCGCUAAAUGUGGGUAUACUCCUCUUGUUCAAAGCCCAUGGGCACAGUACAUGCAAGAACCUUAUCCUACGUUAACUAAGGUGACCAGACGUCCCCCAUUUCCGGGGACAGUCCCCGAAUAGGAUUACCUGUCCCUGGAAAAAGCUGUCCCCGAAAAUGGGUAAGGAAGCACAAGUAAGCAGUCCUGAGCAACAGUUGUUACGGGAGUUAUUACAAGGCCGAAUGUCCCCUGGUUUCAUUACAGAAAUCUGGUCACCUUAAUAUUAACCCCUGCUCACACCUCCAAUCUGUGCCCCAAAACUGUGGCUACAGGCCAACCGCCAAGCUUUUUCUAAGCCUACAUCUAGGCCUGUCGCGAUAAUCAAUUAAUCGCCUUAUCGCUCGAUAAAUAAAAACGAGGUCGGUCAUUUUGCCAGCCUCGAUAAUUAACGUGCGUUUGUUUUCCUCCUCUCUCGCUACCAAAGACGCUGGAUGAGAGAAGAGGUCUCACUCUGUGCAUUUUUCUCGGCACCUGGGGGCGUUGGCUCUAUAAGCGGAAUGAACGGAGUUAGUGAACCCUCCUGUCAGUCAUUCAGUGUCUUUGUCACGAGGGGGCUGGUGCGCACAGGCACACAGACACAAGCUGCGUCCGAAUUGCCAAGUAGUAGUCGAAGUAGUAUCUAGCAUGUCCGAAUUGGCCACCGGAGCGAGUAGCAUGCUACUUCAGAUACUACUUCAGAUACUAGACACGCCCACAUUGUAGGUUGGUCUCGGUGCAUCCUACGGGCAUGCUACUGACCCAAAAUGCACCACGGGCUUCUUCUUCGUCCUCUUAAAAGUUGUAGAAGCGCAUGUGAUGCUAGCGCCACCAGCUGCUCUGCCUAUUUAAAUGUGUCGUGAACGCCGGCUGGCCACAACAGCGCGCACCAUGUCGCGGGACCGCAGCAGUACAGAUGUAAGUUUCAUGUAACUUCACACACUGUCCUAAAAAAUGUGCGGUUGUAUCUCUUUGUCAUGUCAUGGUGUCAUAUUUGCCCAAGUAAUCAUUUUAUGAGCAAGUGGCGACAUCAUGGAGGUAAAGCUCACUUAUUCCAUCAUUAAACUGCACAGCUGCAGUACUACAGCCAGGCCCGCAGAUGAGGGGCUUCAGUUACCACUGUCUGCACGGGCGCAGUACCUACUCUCUGCCUGCGGGGGUCGUCUUUCCCCACCGCUCGUCUAGUGUGUCCGAAUUGGGCCAACGUGUUUAGUAUGUAGGAGUAGGAUCUAGCAGUAGCAUGUAGUAUCCGAGCGGGCAGUUUGGACGCAGCAAAAGACUUUUGGAUACAGUGCUGCAAGUGAGCGUCGUGAGUGAAAAGCAAGCAAACAGAAUGAACACGACAGCUUUGGUGUCUAAACCGAACGCAACAGCCCAAGUGUGGGAAUAUUUCGGCUUUAAACCAGUUUUGUUUUCGUCAGCCACAAAACUCCACGUGUGUGUGUGCGGGCGCGCGUGUGUCUGUGUGUUGGAGGAGCACAGCAGGCUGAUGAGAGCUGUCAGAGCGGACUGAAGCUGCUCCUAUAUGUUUAGCGUUUAACUGACUGAGUUUUGAAACUCUGUUCAUCAUUUUCGCCUGUCCUAUCAACGUAAACGCACUUUCGUCUCGUCACAUUUGAGUCAUCUCCGACUUAUGUUUAGCUCGUCAACGUUACGUCUUCGUCGUGGAAGAAAAGGGAAAUAUUUUAGUCAAUAUUUCCCUUUUUUGACGCUGGCGUUGACGAAAAUAUCUGACGAAAUAUGAAGAAAACAACACUGCUUUAAACCAAAUGAAAGAGGUGAGCCCACAAAUACGGACGAGCCGAUAUGUCGUAUUUGUGCCAAAGUUGUGGUGACAAAGAAGGGGAAUACGACGAACAUGCACGUGCACCUCAAGCACAAUCAUCCCCUCCAUUUUUCUCAAAUGAGCAGAAAAAGUACCGCCGGAGGUACCGCUUACUGAAGCGUUUGGUAAGCAAGCAAAUAUAAACAAAACAGCGCAAAAUGGUGCGCGCUGACAGACAGUGGAAAUUAAAGUUUAUCACUUUUGACACGGUGUACUCGCAUUAUUAUGCCAUAUAAUAUUAUCUAUAAUUUAAAAAACGGUGUCAAUAAUAUCGUUUAUCGGCGAUAAUUUGUAGCACAAUUAUCGUCCAGCAAAAUUUGUUAUCGUGACAGGCCUACCUACAUCACUUCAAGGCCAAGUUACUGCAGGGACGGUUAUCUAAAAAACAGCACGCCCAAGAUGCACCCGCCUUGUAAAAAAGGAGAAUACAGCUGUCUACUCCGUCAAAUGUCCCUGAGCUGGGGAAGGCACUGGCAAAGCAUCCCAACCACUGUUUGUGAAUUAUUUGAUAACAGGACUGGUUCAGAGGUUCCUAACAGGUUUGGUCUGUCUGCCAAAAGUGUCUUUUGUGUGUAAAAAUAAAUUUACAAUCCGUGAUGACAGAUCCUGAAAUAGUUGAUGGAGAGGAGGUAGAGAAGUAAGAGGACAUGCUCGAGAGGCAGUUCAUCUACCGGAAAGAGAACUUGGCAUAUUAUUUUUCCUUGUGUGUCAUGCCUCAGGGGCGGUCCUUUAUAUCUAGACUUUUCAACCUUGCCAAAUCAGUGGAGAAACUCCAUGAUAGAGUAAGUUUAGAUGAAGGUUGCAGAUCCAAACUGCAACACUUCUGUGUAAAAAUGGAAAGGCCUCUCAUUCUCUUAUAGUGACUAUCAGGAAUCUUCUCCUGUGAUUUAAGCUAUUUAUAGUCACAGCACCAUCUGUUGGUUUUGGGGGGUUUUAAUAAUCAGUGGUUGCUGAUGUUUGGCUAAAUGAACUGUCUUCUCUGCCAAAAAAUGUGUCUUCAACUGCUUCAAUGUUUUAAGGGUAACCUAUACUACACAAGCUUUGGAGGUGGGUAGGUUGCUUCAUAGUUUCUUGCUGCUGGCUGCUGCUCUCCCUCCCCAGCUUUCAUGAAGCUCAUGAAAGCUGGGGAGGGUUGCCUGGUAUGGUUGUUCUGGGGGGCUUUUUUGCUGCUGUUUUCCCUGCCUCGGCUUCCAUGUGCUACAUGAAAGCUGAGAGGGUCGCCUUGUAUGGUGUUUUGGGGAAUUUUGAUUUAUUUAUCUUAAUCGUAUUUAGGCCUGUCGCGAUAAUCAAUAAAUCGCCUUAUCGCUCGGUAAAUAAAAACGAGGUCGGUCAUUUUGCCAGCCUCGAUAAUUGACGUGCGUUUGUUUUCCUCCUCUCUCGCUACCAAACACGCUGGAUGAGAGAAGAGGUCUCACUCUGCGCAUUUUCUCGGCACCUGGGGGCGUUGGCUGUAUAGCGGAAUGAACGGAGUUAGUGAACCCUCCUGUCAGUCAUUCAGUAUCUUUGUUACGAGGGGGCGCGCGCGCAGGUACACGUAGGCGCGCACAGGCACACAGACACAGACUUUUGGAUACAGUGCUGCAAGUGAGCGUCGUGAGUGAAAAGCAAGCAAACAGAAUGAACACGACAGCUUUGGUGUCUAAACCGAACGCAACAGCCCAAGUGUGGGAAUAUUUCGGCUUUAAACCAGUUUUGUUUUCGUCAACCACAAAACUCCACGUGUGUGCGCGCGCGCGUGUGUCUGUGUGUUGGAGGAGCACAGCAGGCUGAUGAGAGCUGUCAGAGCGGACUGAAGCUGCUCCUAUAUGUUUAGCGUUUAAUAUACUGAGUUUUGCAACUCUGUGCGUCAUUUUCGUCUCGUCUCAUCAACGUAAACGCACUUUCGUCUCGUCACAUUUUAGUCAUCUCCGACUUAUGUUUAGCUCGUCAACGUUACGUCUUCGUCGUGGGUGAAAUUAAAGUUUAUCACUUUUGACACAGUGUACUCGCAUUAUUAUGCCAUUUCAUAUCAUUAUCUAUAAUUUUAAAAAACGGUGUCAAUAACAUCGUUUAUCGGCGAUAAUUUGUAGCACAAUUAUUGUCCAGCAAAAUUUGUUAUCGUGACAGGCCUAAUCGUAUUUAUGUGCUGCUGCUUUCUCUGCCUUGGCUUUUCAUGUUUGCACAUGAAAAGGAGGGGAGGAACUGUCCCCUCUUGUAGCCGUGGCAUUCCAUGCAAGCGCAUGGAAGAGCAGAGAACUCUCAGAACAGAGAUAUGCCGCCAGUGUAAAAUAUGUUUGCUUGUAAUAAAUAAAUUUUGACUAAAGUGAUCCUGAGUGAAAUAAAAAAAGAGAGGAGGAAAUAAGGAAAGAGAGGAGGACAUAAGAGAGCAGAGGAGGACAAAAGGGAUCAGAGGAGGAAAUAAAAGAAGAGAGAAGGAAAUAAAUUAAGGGAGGAGGACAUAAAAGAAGAAGUGUCAGACAGGGGAGUGUGUUCACCUGCAGUCAGGUUUGAGGAAAUAAAACCGUCUGAUGAAGACCAGACCCUCAGGAGAAAACAUGUCAUCAUAACAGAGAUGGCAGCAGGAAACAGCGCUGUGACCGACUCAAAACCACUCGACAUGGAAAUAAACCGAAGAGGAGCUCGGACAGUUCAGUCCAAACCUGAACAGAAGUCUGCUUCGUUUCCUUCAGAUCAUUUUCAUUAUUUUAUUUUAUGUUUUAGAAAAUUUGAGGUUAGAUAAACUUCCUCUGCAGUCAGCCCGUUUCCCUCAUAUCGACAGUUUUUGAUGCAUGUUUAUGGAAAUAUUUUAGUUUUCCAAAGUGUCGAACAAGGUUUGUGAUUUUUUGACAAAUUAGGAUCAAAAUUCAAUGAAACACUUUGAGAAGAUCUUCAGUGAGACACACACAGAUUUACACAGCCCUCUGCAGCUACAGUUCACUCAUUAAAGGAAGAAUUCAAAGGUUUUAUUGGGUCAUUAGUUUAGUUUAGUUUCCUUUUCAAAGUCUAAAUUAACAGAAAGAAGUUUCCAGAGUCUGAACACUUCCAAACACCGACGAUCUCUCAAUGCAUGCAUGACACGGCUGAAACCAGAUUGUGGUCAAGGGGGUCUCCAAUCCUUGACCAUGGAGUGUGGGGGGGUCUCAACAGAGCGAGGGUCUACAUGUUGUUCAGGUAGUCCUCUCCGUAGUUCACCAUCUGUUUCAGGGCGGUCAGGAUGGGUCUGCUCACCUCAUCAGACGUGGAGAGCUCAGACUCGUAGUUCUUCACCAGGAAGAUGCAGUUGACAGGGAUCCCCAGGCGGACGCUGAACUGCUCCACCUUCAGGUCACAGAGACGGUCUGGUUACUGGACUCUGAGUAAAGGUCUUUGGACAAUCUAAGGGACUCAGACUCACCUGCUUCUUCAGGUAUUUGCUCUUGUGAAUGUUGCGGAUGUCUCUCCUCACCUCUGGACAGGCUUGGUCCACUUUGGUGAGGAUGGCGAACUGGGGGAUUCCUGCAGACACACAGAGGGGUUCAGACCUCAGACAGCAGGACUCUGGUGACUUAGAGUCCACAGAGCGGGAACUUACCCUGGUCCCUGGCUGCCAGUCUGACCUGUCUUAACUUCUGCACCACCCCAUCUUUCAGCAGAGACACUUUGUCCACAGGAACCACGCAGACCAGGACGUGGACUUUGUCAUUCAGGGUGGGGUCUGGGUUGUAGCCAUGAUCACGCUCUGUGAGCGGGUUUUGAGAGUUAAACUAGAAAAAAAUAAGAUAAAGACAAAAUUAUCUUGAAGACUUAAAAAUAGGCUGGACUGUGUAGAGUUGAGAAGACGUUUCGCCUCUUAUCCAAGAAGCUUCUGGUGUGAGGAGCAGAUAUUUAUCUUACUGGAGAAGGGGACAGACAACGACUGGGAGGAGUUGGAAAGAAUGGGUCGAAAAAAACCCAUCUCUGUUUUGUUUAAGACUUAAAAAAAGAAUACAUGAGCAAUACGUCUUUUCCACGGGGAAAAAAACUGCUGUACUUGAAGGAAAUCGCUGCUUUUGUGGAGGCAGAAAUGAAUAUGCUGAGGAUAUAUCUGUCAACGCAGCCGUAAAUAUCUGUGAAUGACAUUGAGCUUUAGUUUAUGAUAUGAAUCCAUAUGCCAUAAUAAGGUGUUGGUGUCUCUGCAGGUGUAGGCUACCGUCGGUGUCAGAGACGUGGUGCUCGUCGGAGCUCGACUCCCUCUGGAUCAAAUAAAUGUUGAUCAUCAUCAGUUUGAUUGUUUCUUCAGAAACCACAAAGCUGACCUGUCUGCUGUUUUUGGAUUUCUUGUAUUUUCUUUGAAGACGCGCUGUGUCUUCAAGCGAGUCCAGCCUCUCACCUGAAAUGCGCAGCUGUGCAGCAGCACGCAAAGCAUUCUGGUAUACCGACGGCACUUAUGCAUUUAUGUUUUCAAGCGUGCAUUUAUGUACGCUUGAAAACAUGCUAAGCGUGCUUAGCAUUUCUUAGCAUCUCGUGCCAAAUGGGACACCGUUCGCGCCGUUGUGACGUCAUGCACGCUUCAUAUGCACCGUUCGACGGUGCAGAAGUGCACUUAGCCCGAUGCGGUCUCUGAAAUGAGACACAGCCAGAGUCAUUCUCAAAAUCCCCUCAGCCACAGGAAGUAGUAAAACACCAUAAAACAGGAAGAUGGCGCUGUUGUACACUGGUGUGGUAUCAUGUCCUCACAGACUUGGUUCUGGUUCGAUCAGUGACUGUGGAUUUAACCUCUUUGGUUGGACAGAUUAGACUCUACAGGACCUUCAGUUCAACAAAGUCCUUCAGUGCGUACCUUGUGAUUUUCCCUCACGUGUCCUUUCAUCGCCAGUUUGACGUCGUCCACGUGGACGCCGUUGUCCAGGCUGUCUUCCAGACCCAUGAUGUCAUUAAAAACCACAGAAUAAAAGCUCUGCUCGUCUUUUUCUAUCAUGUGGGUUUUAUACUGAAAGAAGGAGACAGUAAAUGCAUCAGUUAAACAAAUAAAAGUGUCAAUUUAAAAGUUUUUUCAUUUUCUUAAAAAGGAGAUUCAGUCUGAUUUAUUUUCUCUCCUCUGAAAACCAACCUGCUGAAAAUGAUCCACAUUUUCAGGGAGAGAGUUAGUUUCUAAAGAGUUUGUUCAUUUGAGUUUUUCAUUAAUUUGUGGAUAUUUUAUUUUUUGUCAUUUUGUAGAUUUGUUGAGUCACAUAUAACUGUCUCAGAAAUUUCUGAAGGACCACAAUCAGACGUUCUCUCAGGCUCUAGACCGUCCUACCUCCAGGGUGAAGCUUGUCCCUGAAGUUGCAUCAGUAGCAGCUCGACCGGUCACACGACCUCUGAGAGCGCUGUCCACUGAGUUGAUGAAACUGGACUUUCCUGCACCGACCGGGCCGUGCAGCAGAACCCUCAAGUGACUGACUUGUUUCUUUCGAGGGUGGUAGGCUCCCAGGUACCUAAUGAUGUCCCCGGAGCUCCUGACGAAGCAGAGACAUCAGAUUGUUUUAUCUCAUCUGUGUAGUAUUAAACAAAAGAGCCCUGACCAUAACAAACUACAAUAAAAUACAAGAUAAAACCAGAUAAAAUAGACAAAAAUUUUUUUUUUUAAAAAGAUCAAUAAAAAGAUAGAAUUAUUUCUAAAAAAAGGUAAAAUUUAAAAAGAUAAAAUAAGAUUCAAUGAAAGUGUGAAAUCAGAUUAAAUAAAAUAAGGAAAUAAAAAAACAACACAAAUUAAAAACAGGUAAAAAGACAAGACAAAAUUAAAAUGAUAUAUGAUAAAAAAAGAAAAUUAUUUUUAAAAAGGUAAAAUUUUAAAAGAUAAAUCAAGAUCAAAUAAAAAUGUGAAAUAAAAUCUAAUAAAAUUCUUUAAAAAAUGAAAAACAGAAUUAAACAAGAAAAUAAAAAGAUAAGACAAAAUAAAAAUGAAAUGAUUCAAUAAAAGAUAAAAUUAUUUUUAAAAAUGUCAAACAAGAAAAUUAAAAAAUAGAACAAGAAACAAAAAAGACAAGAUAAAACAAGAUUAUAUUAAAUAAAAUGAGAUUGGAAAACGAUAAAAUAACUUUAUAUCAUGUAAAACAAGAUCAAAUAAAUAAUAAAACUAAUAAAAUAAAAGGAUAAAAACAAGAAAAAAGGUGUGAUAAGCUCUGUGUGGAAACAAACACAGACCAAUCUUACUUAGCCUCUGUGUGAAUGAAUAAAUAUGUGAAUAGUUUAAUGUGUAAAUGAGUUAAUAUAAAUAAAUGUACAUGUGUGAAUGUGUGAAUGAGUGAAUAAGCAGGACUGUGUCCUCAGAAUGCUCACUCACUCUGUCAGUUGUCUCCACGGCUGCCUCAGACAGGCUGAAGGACAAAAAUGAACAACAGUGAGAAAAACUGAAAGACAUGGUUACUGAUUAAAGUAACCAUGCACUUUACACACACACACAUACACAUAUACACACUGAUAUAUACACACACUGAUUAUACACACAGAUCUGAGAUCAUGUCAGUAAGAAUUCAGCCUCUUACGGGAAGGUGGAGGAGGUGGAGGAGGUGUGGAUUCUGAUGAGCCCAUGUCUGCAGAGAACAUGUCCACAUAUUAAAACAUGACCUCAGCUGUUUGACCAGUCUCUAAAAUAAAACCUUUGUAGAAGCUCACGGUCUGCAGAUAUUCAGACAUUAUUGAUCUGUUUAAGGCUGAACCAUCAAUGAUAAAUCUGAGAGGUAAUCAGCUGAUAUAAAGAGUUCAAUAUUUCUCCUUUACAUCAACCUAUGAGGAACAAAGUGAUCAUUAUUACAAUAAUCUCCUUAUUCUGAAGUAAAACCCUCCAAACAUGAUGAGACAGCAUGCAACUCUUAAAUCAAUAAAAUGCUCCAAUCCAGUUUCUACAGAUUAAAAUGGAGCUGGAGGACAGAGUUGGUGUUUCAGUGAGCAUCAGUAAAUGACAGAGAGACUGUAAAAAAAGGUCCUAACAGGUUAAAGUGGCUCUUACCUGCUGCUGUAUCUCUGCUCAGAGUGACUCUGCAGAUCAGCAGGCUGGUGGGUUUUUAUGGAGUCUCCAUACUUUCACUUUCAGUCUCCCUGUUUGGAAUCACUCACAUGAUUUACUGGAAAACUGAAACUGACCCCUCCUCAGUCUGUGUCAAGAAGACAAACUUAAUUUCUGAAGCACUUCUAAAACAAUGAUGGUCCAAAAACAAAGAGAUGUACAGAAAAAGAAAAGGAAAGUCCGAAUAAAAACAACAAAAUUUUAAUCAAUAAAUGAGUUUAAAAAAAUAAUAGAUUAAAAAAACUUGAAAUUAAAAACACUUUAGGUGGAGUUUCUGUGGUCUGUGUUAUAACCCUGUCUGUGUUAUAACCCUGUCUGUAUCAUAAACCUGUCUGUAGUAUGAUCCUGUCUGUGUUAUAAACCUGUCUGUAGUAUAGACCUGUCUGUAGGAUGAUCCUGUCUGUGUUUAAGUCUAAGUUCAUGUGUUCACUCUGGAGUUGUUUGGAGUUUCUUUUCUGUCAGAGACCACCCUCUAAAAACGGAGUUUUUCCUUUGACACAGAAGACUCUGAUAAACAUUCAUUUUCUGUAUUUCAGGAUGAAUUUUGGGUCUCAUCAGGCUGUAACCCUUUUAGUGUUGAUGAUUAUGUUGGAUUAUCCUUAUUUUUUCAGAGCUGAGAGUGGAAAAACUUCGGUUGAAGACAAUUCAUGUUCAGAUGUCCUGAAGGGUGAAAUCAUGUCGAACUCGGUCAGAGGACUUUGUUUAAAGCAGCUACAGAGGGAACAACAGGAGGGUGAAAUAUUAACACAUGAUCACUUCAGACUUUUCAGUCUUUGACUUUCUGUCCAUGUUUGCAGACUGAGAGGUUUCUAAACAUUAUGGUGGAAAGUGUGUUAAAUAACCGUUAUCUGGAGAACAGGAUGUGGCGGUUAGGGAUGUGAGUGUCUGCAUGUCUUUAUUACACUUUCACUUUCAAUAUGAGCACAAGAACAGCCCUGAUAGAGUGUUUCUCUUUUGGUUAGCAGUCAUUUUGCUGCAGUUCUCCUCUUUAAAGCGUCUCAAAACUGUGAUUUCUUCUGCAGCUCCUGGACUGAUAAACUGCAGAAACUCUGAGUUGUGUUUGUUGAUGGAAGAUGUUUCUGUGCUCAGAUGAAUAAACGACAGAGACACACAGAAACUCUGGAUGAAAACCUUCAGGAGCCCCCCAGUCAGACUGUCCCCCCCUGUUCUGUCUUUCCUGUUUUUCUAACAGGUCUGUGAUUCUUCUCUCUCUCAGCCCGGGUUUGUCGGGGAUUUCUCUUUGCCUGAUAUGAAACUUUCCCUUUCAGUCAGUUUCACCUGCUGCUGCCCUCCACACUCUCUCAGUGUCCUCAGUGUCCUGAAUCAGUUCACAAACAUUUAUUGAGUGUUACACUCAAUAAAUGUUUGUGAACUGAGGAGACGAACUGUUGAAGCUUUGAAGGUGGAAUUCUUUCCCAUUCUUGCUUGAUGUACAGCUUCAGUUGCUCAACAGUCUGGGGUCUCUGUUGUCCUAUUUUACGCUUCAUAAUGCUCCACACAUUUUCAAUGGGAGACAGGUCUGGACUGCAGGCAGGCCAGUCGAGUACCCGCACUCUUUAACUACAAAGCCACGCUGUUGUAACAUGUGCAGAAUGUCCGUCCAUGAAAAAGACGUUGCUUGGAUGUAGGGCUGAAACGAUUACUCGAGUAACUCGAUUAAUAAAAUUCCUCGAGGCAAAUUAUAUGCCUCGAGGAAUCGUUUAAAUCCGGAACCAUGUGCAGCGCACGGUGUUUGACACGGAUGGUUAUUUCUGUUGCGCAGCAGCGUGCUCUUUCCGCUCCUUCCGCUGCCGCGCGUUUCAUAGACAUAAUAAAAGGGUAGACCCCGCUGGGGGUGCUGCGCAGCGAGAAAUGCGGCCGCCAUCUUGGUCAGGUCAAGCUUCCCAUACGCUCCGGUCAAUCAUAUUCAUUCAUUCAGCGAUGCCGGAGCACUGUGCGGCGUAUUCCUGUGCCAACAGGCGGACAGCAGAGAACAGGGCUCAAGAAAUAACUUUUCACAGUUAUGAUUAAACAUUUUUUAAACAUUACACUUGACUGUAGAGUCAUUUGUAGGCCAAAGAGGAAGACUAUCGGUCAACUCCAAAAAGGAAACAGCAUUUGCGAACAGCUGGCUUAUUCACAAUAAUAGCAACUUUGGUCGAUUAUCAACAGAUUUGCAUUAGAUUGAAAAACUUUUGUUUGAGAGAGGUUCUAAGAAACGUUAAGAAAUAAAAUAGAAAGAAAAAGGAAGAAAGUGAGCUCUGUUUUAUUAUCUGUUUUAUUAAAGAUUUCUUUGUGGUGAUCUCCUGUUUCAUUUUGAAGAUUUCCUAAGGACAAAAACUUGAGGAAGAAGUGGGAGAUUGCUGUUAGAGGGAGAAAUUCGCAGCAAGUGAUUCCUCUGUGCUGUGUAGCCAACAAGCAAAUUGAUAUGUAGUUUAGAUGCUGUCCUGUCAUGCUGUUCUUGUGUUUAAAUCUUUUUGAUAUGUAGGCUAUAUAUUUGUGUGUAUUUUCCAGUUAUUAAAAUAGUGCUCCUAUAUGACAUUAUUUGUGUGUGUCUACAAAUGGAUAAAUAAAAUUAAACUAUAUAAAAAAUUAUAAUCAAAUCAAUAUAUAUUGAAUUGGCCUAUUAAAACCGCCAGUUAUUAAUAAUUAUUGAGACAUAGCAGGAACCUAGCUCUAAACCUAAAUAUAUCCUUGAUUAAUUGUUAUACUAUAAUACAGCCACUGCUGCCAUGUUCUAAAAUAUCAUUUUAUUCAUUCUGAGUAUUUGAAAACGCCAAAAAAAAAUAUGGCCUCUAUCAUGCCUCUUUGAAUGGCGUUUGCAGAGAAGAAAAUUACGUAGUAUUGAGCGAACUAUGAUUCAUUAAUGCGCUCAGACUUCAUUCCGCCGGUUAAACAGCGGUGCAGAGUGAGGCGGAUGACCGGACCAAGAUGGCGGCCGCAUUUCUCGACAGCGCCCAUUCGUGGUAGCGGCCGAUGCGGGGUCUAUCUUUUAUUAUGUCUAUGGCGCGUUUGGUUCAAUCAUGGAGGGAAACGAGGACAGACAGAGAGAGGAAGAAAGAGAUGACACGCAGAGGAAACGGCAGAAAGUGUCUAAAGUGUGGGACCAUUACACACUGAAAAGGAAAGAAAAUGCCGUGCAGUGCGUUCACUGUAAGGCGGAGUUGGCGUUUCACAACAGCACGUCGUCAAUGCUGCAGCACCUUAAAAGAAAACACCCGGUUCAUGCAUUAAGUCCGCUCUGAGGCAAACGUGAUUCAAUGCAAAGUAUUACAGUGAGAGCAAAACAUUUCUUAUCCGAUUACUCGAUUACUCGACAGAUUAAUCGAUAGAGUACUCGAUUACUAAAAUAAUCGAUAGCUGCAGCCCUACUUGGAUGGCAGCAUGUUGCUCUAAAACCUGUGUGUACCUUUCAGCAUUAAUGUUGCUUUCAGAGAUGUGUAAGUUACCCAUGCCUUGGGCACUAAUGCACCCCCAAACCAUCACAGACGCUGGCUUUUGAACUCUGCGUCUACAACAGUCCGGAUGGUUCUUUUCUGCUUUGGCCCGAAUGACACGACGUCCACUGUUUCCAAAAACGAUCUGAAAUGUGGACUCGUCAGACCACAGAACACUUUUCCACUUUGCAUCAGUCCAUCUUACAUGAGCUCGGGCCCAGAGAAGCCAGCGGCGUUUCUGGAUGUUGUUGAUAAAUGGCUUUGGCUUUGCGUAGUAGAGUUUUAACUUACAGAUGUAGAGAUGAACUGUAUUUACUGACAGUGGUUUUCUGAAGUGUUCCUGAGCCCAUGUGGUCAUAUCCUUUACACAAUGAUGUCAGUUUUUGAUACAGUGCCACCUGAGGGGUCGAAGGUCACGGGCAUUCAAAGUUGGUUUCCGGCCGUGUCGCUUAUGUGCAGUGAUUUCUCCAGAUUCUCUGAACCUUUUGAUGAUAUUAUGGACUGUAGUUGAAAUCUCUAAAUUCUUUACAAUUGUACUUUGAGAAACGUUGUUCUUAAACUGUUCGACUAUUUGCUCACGCAGUUGUUCACAAAGUGGUGAACCUCGCCCCAUCCUUGCUUGUGAAUGACUGAGAAUUUUUGGCGAAGCUGCUUUUAUACCCAAUCAUGACACCCACCUGUUCCCUAUUAGCCUGCUCACCUGUGGGAUGGUCCAAACAGGUGUUUGAUGAGCAUUCCUCAAAUUUCUCACCUGUCCCGACUUCUUUGUCACGUGUUGCUGCCAUCAGAUUCUGUAUUAAAUUGAAUAUAGGUUAGAAAUCAUUUGCAAAUCGUUGCUGUAAGAAAAAUUGUAUGUGUAUGCUAUCACGUGUAUUUUAUCAUAAUGUAAGUAUUUUACUCAUCAUUUACUGAAAAUCACUUGGUGUGAAUGCUUGCAGAAUCAUAUCUGUUUCUUUUUAAUGAGCAUGGGAAAGGAGAAGUAUGGCCUUAGAGUUGGGACUUAUACUUUUCCACUUUUAUGAAUCACCUCUCCCAGAUCUGUCUCCCAAAUAGUUUUAAAGGUCCCCUAUUAUGAAAGAUCCACUUUUGGGGUGGUUUUCUACCAAUAAUAUGCAUACCGGACAUGAAAAAAUUUCAUUCUCUCCCACUCUUGCUUUCCCCUCCUUUCUGAAAACAUGAGCGCAAACGGGCGGAUGGAAAAGCUGUGCGGUUAUGAUGAACUUAAACCCGAUGCUGUGCAAAAAAUAAAAAUGCAUCAAAGUUAAUUUUGUUGCUUAUAUUUGACAUACCCAAGGGUGUGAUAGCAUGUAAAAAAUCUUCAGCCUCUCAUUACUUUUUAUAUUGAAAUUCUGUCAUUUUGUGUGAUUUUUUCUCUUUCCAUCAAAUCAGUGACAUCGCCUCUUAAUUUGGCAUUUAAUUUGGCAUUUAAGGGUUAAAAUUCAUAAUGAAAUAAUAAUAAAAAAUGUUAUGAUAAGGACUGAGCUUUGAAUAGAUUUGAGCAAAAAAAAUUGUCUGGUAUGUUUUUAUAGCAGCUAAAGUAAGUGACCCAAAACAGCCACAACGCAACCAAAGGUAGUAAAUCUGUAAACAGUGCAUUUAAAAAUUUUGAAAGAGAAAAUUAAAAAUAUACGUCAAAUUAAACUUCUUUACCAAAAAUGAUUUCACUCUCUAAAAAAUAGCGAGUAUUUUGGUCAAAAAAGUGAGUAUUUUGCCCCCUACUGGCUAAAAAAAGCCACAAGGUGACACAAGGGUUAACAAACUUCUGAAAAUAAACAUUCAUAGAAAUGGAGGCAUGAUCCAAAACAACAAUUGAGUCAUAUUUGCAGCCAGAAAUGUUGGAUAACAAUUUAUUAUUCACUAGAAAAAAAAUCAAUUCAAGUGUAAGUAUGAUGAAUAUGAAAGAAAAAAAAGAGUAUUCCCUUUUAUCUGGAUCGAAAAAACGCCAAGGGUUAACAACAUUAACCUUGUUCAUAAAGGCUUGAAUCACUUUGGUCGACUUGGAUUGGGAAGAAUGGUUUAAGUAUGGAUUAAUCCAGCAGUUGAAGUCUCCACCUAAGAUUAAAUCAUACAUGGACAAGUCAGGUAGCAUUGAGAAAACCUGUCUAAAAAAGACUCAUCAUCCCAGUUGGGGUCAUAAAAAUGUGUCCUAUGACCUGCAAUAAACCUGCCACCAGAAUCAGACAUUGUCUCAAUAUAAACAAAAGGAAUAUCAAAAGGAUUUGGCUCCCCCCUGUGGACCGAAGCAGAGAGAGCAUCAAAGAUAACAAAAGGUAAAAGGAGGAGAGGAGGAAAUAAGGAAGGAGGGAAGGAGAAAACAAAAGAGAGGGGAAGGAAACAAAAGAAGGGAGGAUGAAAUAAGGGAGGAGAAAGGAGGAAUAGAGGUAGUUCAGGCAGGUCGCUGAGUCAAGCUGAUCUUAAACCAGCCCUCAGUUAGCUUACAGCUCAGGUGAUCGCCCUCUACACAUCCUAUUGGCUAAUGUCAAAAUGGCGCCCUAUUUAAACUGCUUCUCCUGUCUACUCUGCCUGCUGCAAUUCUGCCUUUUUGCUUUUUCCUACCUUGCUCUUCAUCAUGUCGAUCCCUGCCCACGACAAGGAUCCACGGCAGAUUGACUGCUUUCUGAAACGCAGCACCAGCAUGUGAGGUCGAGGAAGCCAGUCCUUGCAAUGACAGAUGCGUUUCCUUCUGCACGAGCUCUCCUCUGGCAAGUAAAACUUUUAUUUCUCCCAGCUUCAUGAAGUCCAGGCUCCUAGAAGUCCUUUAUAGAUAACAUCACAGCUCCCGGUGGUGCCUCACAUCAAUAUCCACAUAGAGCCCCCACUUGCAGUUCUCUCUUCCUCCUCUGUAUCCAGAAAAGCGACCGAGAAAAGAAAACGCUGUUCCCGCCGCGUCACGGCAGUUCAGCUUCAGCCGCCGCGUCAUCGCCGCCGCCCGCAGAGCGCGAGGCCCAACCCCAGCCACCAGAGCCGCGGACGUGGACGACAAUCCCAUCCUGAAAGCACUAUCCAGCAUCCAGCCAUCGCUCGCCCACAUGUCUUCGAGGAUCGAAGCCCCAGAAUCCGGUUCGGCACGUGCUAAGCUGUCCUCCUUCAUCCCAGCUGUCACCUUCCUUCACCGCGCUGAACGAUGACGUCACUCCAGCGACAACCGACGACAGCGUCACGAUCCCGCCAAAGACCCUGGGAAGUGCAGUCCCCGUCUCCAUCGGCGUCCCAUUCUUCCCUCCCGCGGCUGCAAUUACACCGAAUCUGCGGAGCCAAAUCCUCGAAGGUACCGACAUUAAUCUUGUAAAGAAUCUUGCUGUGCUCCGACUACAAUGAUAGACGCAUUGUGGAUUGCGGAGAUGAGUCUGUGAUGCUUAAAUAUCGUGAUGCGCGUCUGUUUAAAUCUCCGACCUUAGCUGAAUUCAUGUAGCUUUCUGCGUAUUUGGAAAUGUCAUAUGUGAAGUGUUUUCAGCACGCAGAACUGAACUGGACACAUAUCUUGCCAUUAUUUCUGAUUCAGACAUGACUUAUGGAAGAAUAUUAUUCUAGGAAUCUCACAAAUCAUUUUCAGCAAAGCUGCUAAGUACAUUCAAAGAUUCAACCAGACUUGAUUAGUCCGUAGGCGACCUGGCUCAACUCGACUUAGCAUCAAGCUUUUUCUUGCUCAAGCUGUGGGUCUUCCUCUCACACCCAGAGUAAGCCAGGAAGCAGGUAUGCAGCGGUACACAGCAGUACGCUGUUAAAUAGAUAAAUGAUUAUUAAAUAAACAAAUAAAUAGAUUUUAUGUUCAAGAGAGGGAGAGAGAGAUGCAGCAGAUGAUGGUACUGUGGCAUCAGAGUCGGCGCCUCGCUAAAUGUGGGUAUACUCCUCUUGUUCAAAGCCUAUGGGCACAGUACAUGCAAGAACCUUAUCCUACAUUAACUAAGGUGACCAGACGUCCCCGAUUUCCGGGGACAGUCCCCGAAUUGGAUGACCUGUCCCUGGAAAAAGCUGUCCCCGAAAAUGGGUAAGGAAGCACAAGUAAGCAGUCCUGAACAACAGUUGUUACGGGAGUUAUUACAAGGCCGAAUGUCCCCUGGUUUCAUUACAGAAAUCUGGUCACCUUAAUAUUAACCCCUGCUCACACCUCCAAUCUGUGCCCUAAAACUGUGGCUACAGGCCAACCGCCAAGCUUUUUCUAAGCCUACAUCACUUCAAGGCCAAGUUACUGCAGGGACGGUUAUCUAAAAAACAGCACGCCCAAGAUGCACCCGCCUUGUAAAAAAGGAGAAUACAGCUGUCUACUCCGUCAAAUGUCCCUGAGCUGGGGAAGGCACUGGCAAAGCAUCCCAACCACUGUUUGUGAAUUAUUUGAUAACAGGACUGGUUCAGGGGUUCCUAGCAUAGUUGAUGGAGAGGAGGUAGAGAAGUAAGAGGACAUGCUCGAGAGGCAGUUCAUCUACCGGAAAGAGAACUUGGCAUAUUAAUUUUCCUUGCGCGUCAUGCCUCAGGGGCGGUCCUUUAUAUCUAGACUUUUCAACCUUGCCAAAUCAGUGGAGAAACUCCAUGAUAGAGUAAGUUUAGAUGAAGGUUGCAGAUCCAAACUGCGGUUUGGUCACUUCUGUGUAAAAAUGGAAAGGCAUCUCAUUCUCUUAUAGUGACUAUCAGGAAUCUUCUCCUGUGAUUUAAGCUAUUUAUAGUCACAGCACCAUAUGUUGGUUUUGGGGGGUUUUAAUAAUCAGUGGUUGCUGAUGUUUGGCCGAAUGAACUGUCUUCUCUGCCAAAAAAUGUGUCUUCAACUGCUUUAAUGUUUUAAGGGUAACCUAUACUACACAAGCUUUUGGAGGUGGGUAGGAUGCUUCAUAGUUUCUUGCUGCUGGCUGCUGCUCUGCUGUUGCCUGGUAUGGUUGUUCUGGGGGGCUUUUUUGCUGCUGUUUUCCCUGCCUCGGCUUCCAUGUGCUACAUGAAAGCUGAGAGGGUCGCCUUGUAUGGUGUUUUGGGGGAUUUCGAUUUAUUUAUCUUAAUCGUAUUUAUGUGCUGCUGCUUUCUCUGCCUUGGCUUUUCAUGUUUGCACAUGAAAGGGAGGGGAGGAACUGUCCCCUCUUGUAGCCGUGGCAUUCCAUGCAAGCGCAUGGAAGAGCAGAGAACUCUCAGAACAGAGAUAUGCCGCCAGUGUAAAAUAUGUUUGAUUGUAAUUAGUGCUGGGCGAUGGGACGAUAGAUAUCGUGGGCACGAUAGAAAAUGUCUAUCGUGCCAUUUUUAUUUUUAUCGUUUCGGGCGAUAGGCUGUAUUUUAUCCAUAGGGCUUGUGCCAUCAGAUGAUUCAUAGUAACAACAACAAUAAUUGCACAUUCAGUAAGUGUAUUUGGUGUCGAACGGGAAAGAAAACAAUAUUUUCUUGCAAAGAAAAGGAUGCGUUGACAUGUAGGCUCGCAUUUCUCUUUCGAUUUUGCGACAUGACGCCGCUUUACGUGCCCUCUUCGUGUCCAGCGUCUCCCGCCGUUGCGGGUUACCUGGGUUACACACGUGAGGGGAUCAUUGUAAGCAGUGCUUAAUUUGUGCCGGAGCAAGUCGGAGCGCGAUCCAGGACCUCUUUUGAUCGGAUCCGGGACCUAUUUCAGCCGCUCCGGCACCUGUUUCAUCUGCUCCGGGACCUUCCCUGUAGAGGAUGACAUUUUUCGGGAAUUCCUGUGGGUCACGUGAUUCCCGCAGGACUCCCACGGGAUGGGAGUCAUUUUUUAAUUAAUCCCUUGAUCGGGACGGGACGGGAAAAAAAGCAACGGGAGUGGGCAGGAGCGGGAACAACAUUAAAAGAUGAUCAUUUUCAGCCGUGUUUAACAACCAGAUGAACAGGUGCGUCCAUUUUUGUAGUCAUCUCUCAGUGAGAGCCAACACUCUUGACCGCGCUAGCAACACAAAAGAACUACAACAGUGGUUUGACUUCCUGUCAGCUGGGAGCGCGGCUGCGCAUUUCUACCCUUCAAGCCAGCAGCGAGGAAACGUAAUUUUGUGACACUCUGUAGUUUUUCAAUCAUUUCUGGAGUCGUGGCGAAUCAAAUCACCUGACCUGUCUGCCCCUGAUAGGCGAAUAAAGCGCUCUGAUUCAUGCUCGGGUCUUCCUACGUGCUUCAAGAGUAAAGUAAACAAUGAUGGAGGCAGAGAGCAGCUUUGGAGGAGAAACAUCUAGCAGUGUGAACAACCCCUUAAAGACCAACCUUUUUAAUAAAGCCUUUGGUUAGUUUUCCUCUAUGCUUUUACUACCUUGCCUCUUACAUUGCAACUCUAUAUUUUUUAUUUUUCUAAUUCUUUUUUUUAUGCCAAUCUGUGACUGUCAUUCUAUUGCUUUUUUAUUGUUGCUGCUCUUUUUUUACUGUGUACUGUAGCACUUUGAGAUUUUUGGUAAAUGUAAAGUGCAUUACAAAUUAAAUUUAUUAUUAUUAUUAUUAUUAUUAUUAUUAUUAUGGAGUGCUUUGGCUCACACUAUCAGCGUUUUCUGUGAGUGUUGCAUAACUUUGGGUGAGCACAGACAUGAACGCACUUCAGCCACGUAUUUAUUUAUUAAUUUUUCUAGUUUUAAGUGCUGGUCUUGUACUGGUACUAGUGCAGCUGUAUACACUUAAAUUUUUCAUAGAACUGAAAGCAUACCAUAGCUAUAUCGUGAUAUAUAUCGUUAUCGUGAUAUAAAAUGAUCCAUAUCGUGAUACACAUUUUUUUCCAUAUCGCCCAGCACUAAUUGUAAUAAAUAAAUUUUGACUAAAGUGAUCCUGAGUCGAAUAAAAAAAGAGAGGAGGAAAUAAGGAAAGAGAGGAGGACAUAGGGAGCAGAGGAGGACAAAAGGGAUCAGAGGAGGAAAUAAAAGAAGAGAGAAGGAAAUAAAAUAAGGGAGGAGAGGAGGACAUAAAAGAGAAGAGGAGGAAAUAAAAGAAGAAGUGUCAGACAGGGGAGUGUGUUCACCUGCAGUCAGGUUUGAGGAAAUAAAACCGUCUGAUGAAGACCAGACCCUCAGGAGAAAACAUGUCAUCAUAACAGAGACGGCAGCAGGAAACAGCGCUGUGACCGACUCAAAACCACUCAACGACGUGAAAAUAAACCAAAGAGGAGCUCGGACAGUUCAGUCCAAACCUGAACAGAAGUCUGCUUCGUUUCCUUCUGAUCAUUUUCAUUAUUUUAUUUUAUGUUUAAGAAAAUUUGAGGUUAGAUAAACUUCCUCUGCAGUCAGCCCGUUUCCCUCAUAUCGACAGUUUUUGAUGCAUGUUUAUGGAAAUAUUUUAGUUUUCCAAAGUGUCGAACCAGGUUUGUGAUUUUUUGACAAAUUAGGAUCAAAAUUCAAUGAAACACUUUGAGAAGAUCUUCAGUGAGACACACACAGAUUUACACAGCCCUCUGCAGCUACAGUUCACUCAUUAAAGGAAGAAUUCAAAGGUUUUAUUGGGUCAUUAUUUUAGUUUUAUUGAAAAUGUUUUAUGUACAGUUUCCUAUUCAAAGUCUAAAUUAACAGAAAGAAGUUUCCAGAGUCUGAACACUUUCAAACACCGACGAUCUCUCAACGCAUGCAUGACACGGCUGAAACCAGAUUGUGGUCAGGGGGGUCUCCAAUCCUUGACCAUGGAGUGUGGGGGGGUCUCAGCAGAGCAAGGGUCUACAUGUUGUUCAGGUAGUCCUCUCCGUAGUCUACUAUCUGUCUCAGGGCGGUCAGGAUUGGUCUGCUCACCUCAUCAGACAUGGAGCACUCAGACUCGUAGUUCUUCACCAGGAAGAUGCAGUUGACAGGGAUCCCCAGGAGGACGCUGAACUGCUCCACCUUCAGGUCACAGAGACGGUCUGGUUACUGGACUCUGAGUAAAGGUCUUUGGACAAUCUAAGGGACUCAGACUCACCUGCUUCUUCAGGUAUUUGCUCUUGUGAAUGUUGCGGAUGUCUCUCCCCACCUCUGGACAGGCUUUGUCCACUUUGGUGAGGAUGGCGAACUGGGGGAUUCCUGCAGACACACAGAGGGGUUCAGACCUCAGACAGCAGGACUCUGGUGACUUAGAGUCCACAGAGCGGGAACUUACCCUGGUCCCUGGCUGCCAGUCUGACCUGUCUUAACUUCUGCACCACCCCAUCAGUCAGCCGAGACACAGUGUCCACAGGGACCACGCAGACCAGGACGUGGACUUUGUCAUCCAAGGUGGGGAUUGGGUUGUAGCCAUGAUCACGCUCUGAGAGCGGGUUUUGAGGAUUAAACUAGAAAAAAAUGAGAUAAAGACAAAAUUAUCUUGAAGACUUAAAAAUAGGCAACUGGACUGUGUAGAGUUGAGAAGAUGUUUCGCCUCUUAUCCAAGAAGCUUCUAGUGUGAGGAGCAGAUAUUUAUCUUACUGGAGAAGGGGACAGACAACGACUGGGAGGAGUUGGAAAGAAUGGGUCGAAGAAACCCAUUUCUGGUUUUUUUAAGACUUAAAAAAGAAUAUAUGAGAAACACGUCUUUUCCACGGGGAAAAAACUGGUGUACUUGAAGGAAAUCGCUGCUUUUGUGGAGGCAGAAAUGAAUAUGCUGAGGAUAUAUCUGUCAACGCAGCCGUAAAUAUCUGUGAAUGACAUUGAGCUUUAGUUUAUGAUAUGAAUCCAUAUGCCAUAAUAAGGUGUUGGUGUCUCUGCAGGUGUAGGUUACCGCCGGUGUCAGAGACAUGGUGCUCGUCGGAGCUCGACUCCCUCUGGAUCACAAAUGUUGAUCAUCAUCAGUUUGAUUGUUUCUUCAGAAACCACAAAAUCUCUCUGAAUGACCCGCUGAUACAUCCACAGAUAACCCUGCAGAUGACCAGCUUCAGUCAUUUCCCCCUCCACAAAAGCAGCUUCAUGACUUUAUUUACUUUAUGACUUUAUUCUCCUAAAUUUACAACUUGAAUCUCUAAAUCUUAAAAGAAAAAAAACUCAAUGUUGUCCUGAUCCUCUGCUGUAGUUUUGUCAGCUUCUUAUUUCUAAUGUUUUUGAUAGUUGUAACACAGCGGAUCAGUUCGUCUCUAAAUCUAUAAUGUUUGGUUUACAGAUUUUAGUGAGUUCAGAGAUCAUGCUCUCAUACAGCCUGAGCUGACUGUCUGCUGAUUUUGGAUUUCUUGUAUUUUCUUUGAAGACGCGCUGUGUCCACAAGCGAGUCCAGCCUCUCACCUGAAAUGCGAAGCUGUGCAGCGGCACGCAAAGAAUUCUGGGAUACCGACAGCACGAAAGCGUGCAUAAAUGCACGCUUGAAAAAGGGCCGGGGGUAGUGUGGUUUUGAGACCGAAUUUGAAGCGCGCUUAGUAUUUUGUACCAAACGGGACACCGUUCGUGCCGCGUGAUGACCUCACGCACGCUUCAGAUGCGCCGUUCGACGGUUGCGGUCUCUGAAAUGGGACACAGGAAGGGUGCAAAACGGCAGUGCACUCAGCUAAGCGCGCUUCUCCCGAUGCGGUCUCUGAAAUGAGACACAGCCAGAGGCUGUGUCUCAUUUCAGAGACCGCAUCGACCUAAGUGCCCUUCUGCACCGUCGAACGGUGCAUUUGAAGUGUGCAUGACGUCACGACGGUGCGAACGGUGUCCCGUUUGGCACGAGAUGCUAAAAAAUGCUAAGCGCGCUUAGCAUGUUUUCAAGCGUGCAUUUAUCCACGCUUUCGUGCCGUCGGUAUCCCAGAAUCCUUUGCGUGCUGCUGCACAGCUGCGCAUUUCAGGUGAGAGGCUGGACUCGCUUGGAGACGCAGCGCGUCUUCAAAGAAAUUACAAGCAAUCCAAAAACAGCAGACAGUCAGCUCAGGCUGUAUGAGAGCAUGAUCUCUGAACUCACUAAAAUCUGUUAACCAAACAUUAUAGAUUUAGAGACGAACUGAUCCGCUCUGCUUCAACUAUCAAAAACAUUAGAAAUGAGAAAGCUGACAAAACUACAGCAGAGUAUCAGGACAACAUUGAGGUUUUUUUCUAUUAAGAUUUAGAGAUUCAAGUUGUAAAUUUAGGAGAAUAAAGUCAUAAAGUAAAUAAAGUCAUAAAGCUGCUUUUGUGGAGGGGGAAAUGACUGAAGCUGGUCAUCUGCAGGGUUAUCUGUGGAUGUAUCAGCGGGUCAUUAAGAGAGAUUUUGUGGUUUCUGAAGAAACAAUCAAACUGAUGAUGAUCAACAUUUGUGAUCCAGAGGGAGUCGAGCUCCGACGAGCACCACGUCUCUGACACCGGCCGUAGCCUACACCUGCAGAGACACCAACACCUUAUUAUGGCAUAUGGAUUCAUAUCAUAAAUUACAGCUCAAUGUCAUUCACGGAUAUUUACGGCUGCAUUGACAGAUAUAUCCUCAGCAUAUUCAUUUCUGCCUCCACAAAAGCAGCGAUUUCCUUCAAGUACACCAGUUUUUUUCCCCGUGGAAAAGACGUAUUUCUCAUAUAUUCUUUUUAAAGUCUUUAUACUUAUGACAAUGUGAUGCUGAUGUGCCAGAGGAUGAAGUAUCUCCUAUCCUCCUUCUAAAUAGGGCCCUCAUACUCCUUCAUACAAAACAAUCAUUGGAUUAAUUUUGUGGGAAUGAUCUGGGCUUGUAUGUAUCUACUAUUUUGUGUCUGUGCAAGGUCGCACAAUUAAAACAAUACAUGCUGCGCUCCGCAGCUUUUUUUCUAAUCAGUCGUGACGUAAGCCUGAGGGCGGGGACAUUUGGAGACCUUCGGAGGACUUCCUGGUGGAGUUGCCAAAUGUCCCCGCCCUCAGGCUCGCGUCACGACUGACUUAAAGGAAACCCGCAGAGCGCAGCAUUUAUUGUUUUAAUUGUGCGACCUUGCACAGACACAAAAUAGUAGAUACAUACAAGCACAAUUCAUCCAAUGAUUGUUUUGUAAGAAGGAGUAUGAGGGCCAUAUUGAGAUUUAAGACUUUAAGGACUUCGAGAUUUAAGUCGUGAAUUUACGAGAAUAAAGUCAUUAAUUUAUGAGAAUGAAGUCAUAACCUGUUAUUUCAGAGAGACUUGCUAAAAUUAGGGCCAUGAAGCAUUUGAAGGAACUGUGCUUCAGUAUAGGUUUCACAAACAAGGAGAUUCUUCAUCCUCUGGCACAUCAGCAUAACAUUGUCAUAAGUAUAAAGACUUUAAAAAGAAUAUAUGAGAAAUACGUCUUUUCCACGGGGGAAAAAACUGGUGUACUUGAAGGAAAUCGCUGCUUUUGUGGAGGCAGAAAUGAAUAUGCUGAGGAUAUAUCUGUCAAUGCAGCCGUUAAUAUCCGUGAAUGACAUUGAGCUUUAGUUUAUGAUAUGAAUCCAUAUGCCAUAAUAAGGUGUUGGUGUCUCUGCAGGUGUAGGCUACGGCCGGUGUCAGAGACGUGGUGCUCGUCGGAGCUCGACUCCCUCUGGAUCACAAAUGUUGAUCAUCAUCAGUUUGAUUGUUUCUUCAGAAACCACAAAAUCUCUCUGAAUGACCCGCUGAUACAUCCACAGAUAACCCUGCAGAUGACCAGCUUCAGUCAUUUCCCCCUCCACAAAAGCAGCUUCAUGACUUUAUUUACUUUAUGACUUUAUUCUCCUAAAUUUACAACUUGAAUCUCUAAAUCUUAAAAGAAAAAAAACUCAAUGUUGUCCUGAUCCUCUGCUGUAGUUUUGUCAGCUUCUUAUUUCUAAUGUUUUUGAUAGUUGUAACACAGCGGAUCAGUUCGUCUCUAAAUCUCUAAUGUUUGGUUUACAGAUUUUAGUGAGUUCAGAGAUCAUGCUCUCAUACAGCCUGAGCUGACUGUCUGAUGGUUUUGGAUUGCUUGUAUUUUCUUCGAAGACGCGCUGUGUCUCCAAGCGAGUCCAGCCUCUCACCUGAAAUGCACAGCUGUGCAGCGGCACGCAAAGAAUUCUGGGAUACCGACGGCACGAAAGCGUGCAUACAUGCACGCUUGAAAACGAGGCGGGGGUAGUGUGGUUUUGAGACCGAAUUUGAAGCGCGCUUAGUAUUUUGUGCCAAACGGGACACCGUUCGUGCCGCGUGGUGACCUCACGUACGCGUCAGAUGCGCCGUUCGAUGGCUGCUGUAUCUGAAAUGGGACACAGGAAGGGCACAGAACGGCGCAAAACGGCGUAAAACGGCUCAAAACGGCAGUGCACUCAGCUAAGCGCCGUUAAGCGCGCUUAUCACGAUGCGGUCUCUGAAAUGAGACACAGCCAGAGUCAUUCUCAAAAUCCCCUCAGCCACAGGAAGUAGUAAUACACCUUAAAACAGGAAGAUGGCGCUGUUGUACACUGGUGUGGUAUCAUGUCCUCACAGACUUGGUUCUGGUUCGAUCAGUGACUGUGGAUUUAACCUCUAUGGUUGGACAGAUUAGACUCUACAGGACCUUCAGUUCAACAAAGUCCUUCAGUGCGUACCUUGUGAUUUUCCUUCACGUGUCCUUUCAUCGCCAGUUUGACGUCGUCCACUUGGACGCCGUUGUCCAGGCUGUUCUCCAGGCCCAUGAUGUCAUUAAAAACCACAGAAUAAAAGCUCGACGCCUGUUUUUCUAUCUUGUAGGUUUUAUACUGAAAGAAGGAGACAGUAAAUGCAUCAGUUAAACAAAUAAAAGUGUCAAUUUAAAAGAUUUUUCAUUUUCUUAAAAAGGAGAUUCAGUCUGAGAGAGUUAGAGAGAGUUAGUUUCUAAAGAGUUUGUUCAUUUGAGUUUUUCAUUAAUUUGUGGAUAUUUUAUGUUUGUCUCUGUCAUUUUGUAAAUUUGUUAAGUCACGUAUAACUGUCUCAGAAGUUUCUGAAGGACCACAAUCAGACGUUCUCUCAGGCUCUAGACCGUCCUACCUCCAGGGUGUAGCUUGUCCCUGAAGUUGCAUCAGUAGCAGCUCGACCGGUCACACGACCCCUGAGAGCGCUGUCCACUGAGUUGAUGAAACUGGACUUUCCUGCACCGACCGGGCCGUGCAGCAGAACCCUCAAGUGACUGACUUGUUUGUUUCGAGGGUGGUAGGCUCCCAGGUACCUAAUGAUGUCCCCGGAGCUCCUGACAAAGCAGAGACAUCAGAUUGUUUUAUCUCAUCUGUUUAGUAUUAAACAAAAGAGCCCUGACCAUAACAAACUACAAUAAAAUACAACAAGACAAAACCAGAUAAAACAGACAAAAAAAAGUUUAAAAAAGAUCAAUGAAAAGAUUAAAUUAUUUCUAAAAAAAGUUAAAAUUUAAAAGGAUAAAAUAAGAUUCAAUAAAAGUGUGAAAUCAGAUCAAAUAAAAUAAGGAAAUAAAAAAAACACAAAUUAAAAACAGGAUAAAAUAAAAUAAAAAGAUAAGACAAAAUAAAAUGAUAAGAUAAAAAGAUAAAAUCAUUUUAAAAAAUGAAAAUUAAGAAAAUUUCAAGAUAAAACAAGAUUAACAGAUUAUACAAGAUAAAAAGUUGAAGCAAGAUAAAACAAAAUAAAAAUAUAGAAUUGAUGAAAAUAAGACAAGAUAAAACAAGAUAAUUUAUAAUAACAUAAGAUUCAAAAAAGAUAAAAUUAUUUUAAAUAAUUUAAAACAAGAUCAUAUAAUAUAUUAAAACUAAUAAAAUAAAAGGAUAAAAGAAGGAAAGAAAAAAGAAAGGUGUGAUAAGCUUUGUUGAAACUAUAUACACUCACCGGCCACUUUAUUGGGUACACCUGUCCAACUGCUCAUUAACACUUAAUUUCUAAUCAGCCAAUCACAUGGCGGCAACUUAGUGCAUUUAGGCAUGUAGACAUGGUCAAGACAAUCUCCUGCAGUUCAAACCGAGCAUCAGUAUGGGGAAGAAAGGUGAUUUGAGUGACUUUGAACGUGGCAUGGUUGUUGGUGCCAGAAGGGCUGGUCUGAGUAUUUCAGAAACUGCUGAUCUACUGGGAUUUUCACACACAACCAUCUCUAGGGUUUACAGAGAAUGGUCCGAAAAAGAAAAAAUAUCCAGUGAGCGGCAGUUCUGUGGGCGGAAAUGCCUUGUUGAUGCCAGAGGUCAGAGGAGAAUGGCCAGACUGGUUCGAGCUGAUAGAAAGGCAACAGUGACUCAAAUAACCACCCGUUACAACCAAGGUAGGCAGAAGAGCAUCUCUGAACGCACAGUACGUCGAACUUUGAGGCAGAUGGGCUACAGCAGCAGAAGACCUUUCAGCUAAGAACAGGAAACUGAGGCUACAAUUUGCACAAGCUCAUCGAAAUUGGACAGUAGAAGAUUGGAAAAACAUUGCCUGGUCUGAUGAGUCUCGAUUUCUGCUGCGACAUUCGGAUGGUAGGGUCAGAAUUUGGCGUCAACAACAUGAAAGCGUGGAUCCAUCCUGCCUUGUAUCAACGGUUCAGGCUGGUGGUGGUGGUGUCAUGGUGUGGGGAAUAUUUUCUUGGCACUCUUUGGGCCCCUUGGUACCAAUUGAGCAUCGUUGCAACGCCACAGCCUACCUGAGUAUUGUUGCUGACCAUGUCCAUCCCUUUAUGACCACAAUGUACCCAACUUCUGAUGGCUACUUUCAGCAGGAUAAUGCGCCAUGUCAUGAAGCUGGAAUCAUCUCAGACUGGUUUCUUGAACGUGUACCUAAUAAAGUGGCCGGUGAGUGUAUAUAUAAAUACACUCACCGGCCACUUUAUUAGGUACACCAUGCUAGUACCGGGUUGGACCCCCUUUUGCCUUCAGAACUGCCUCAAUUCUUCGUGGCAUAGAUUCAACAAGGUGCUGGAAGCAUUCCUCAGAGAGCUUGGUCCAUAUUGACAUGAUGGCAUCACACAGUUGCCGCAGAUUUGUCGGCUGCACAUCCAUGAUGCGAAUCUCCUGUUCCACCACAUCCCAAAGAUGCUCUAUUGGAUUGAGAUCUGGUGACUGUGGAGGCCAUUUGAGUACAGUGAACUCAUUGUCAUGUUCAAGAAACCAGUCUGAGAUGAUUCCAGCUUUAUGACAUGGCGCAUUAUCCUGCUGAAAGUAGCCAUCAGAAGUUGGGUACAUUGUGGUCAUAAAGGGAUGGACAUGGUCAGCAACAAUACUCAGGUAGGCUGUGGCGUUGCAACGAUGCUCAAUUGGUACCAAGGGGCCCAAAGAGUGCCAAGAAAAUAUUCCCCACACCAUGACACCACCACCACCAGCCUGAACCGUUGAUACAAGGCAGGAUGGAUCCAUGCUUUCAUGUUGUUGACGCCAAAUUCUGACCCUACCAUCCGAAUAUCGCAGCAGAAAUCGAGACUCAUCAGACCAGGCAAUGUUUUUCCAAUCUUCUAUUGUCCAAUUUCGAUGAGCUUGUGCAAAUUGUAGCCUCAGUUUCCUGUUCUUAGCUGAAAGGAGUGGCACCCGGCGUGGUCUUCUGCUGCUGUAGCCCAUCUGCCUCAAAGUUCGACGUACUGUGCGUUCAGAGAUGCUCUUCUGCCUACCUUGGUUGUAACGGGUGGUUAUUUGAGACACUGUUGCCUUUCUAUCAGCUCGAACCAGUCUGGCCAUUCUCCUCUGACCUCUGGCAUCAACAAGGCAUUUCCGCCCACAGAACUGCCGCUCACUGGAUAUUUUUUCUUUUUCGGACCAUUCUCUGUAAACCCUAGAGAUGGUUGUGCGUGAAAAUCCCAGUAGAUCAGCAGUUUCUGAAAUACUCAGACCAGCCCUUCUGGCACCAACAACCAUGCCACGUUCAAAGUCACUCAAAUCACCUUUCUUCCCCAUACUGAUGCUCGGUUUGAACUGCAGGAGAUUGUCUUGACCAUGUCUACAUGCCUAAAUGCACUAAGUUGCCGCCAUGUGAUUGGCUGAUUAGAAAUUAAGUGUUAACGAGCAGUUGGACAGGUGUACCUAAUAAAGUGGCCGGUGAGUGUAUAUGUGUAUAUAUGUAUAUAUAUAUAUAUUACUGUGUGUAUAUGCGUGUAUUUGUGUAUAUGUGUGUGUGCGUGUGUCAAUGUGUAUAUGUAUGUCUAUGUGUGUAUGUGUAUGUGUGUGUGUGUGUGUGUGUGUCCUUAGAAUGCUCACUCACUCAUUCAAUCGUCUCCACGGUUGACUCAGACAGGCUGAAGGACAAAAAUGAACAAUAGUGAGAAAAACUGAAAAACAUGGUUACUGAUUAAAGAUCCUGAUCCUCAGAUCUGAGAUCAUGUCAGUAAGAAUUCAGCCUCUUACGGGAAGGUGGAGGAGUUGGAGGAGGUGGAGAAGGUCGAUAAUAUGGAGAAUGUCCAUGUGAUCGUCUGCAUUUUGAUUUUGAUGAGCCCAUGUCUGCAGAGAACAUGUUCACAUAUUAAAACAUGACCUCAGCUGUUUGACCAGUCUCUAAAAUAAAACCUUUGUAGAAGCUCACGGUCUGCAGAUAUUCAGACAUUAUUGAUCUGUUUAAGGCUGAACCAUCAAUGAUAAAUCUGAGAGGUAAUCAGCUGAUAUAAAGAGUUCAAUAUUUCUCCUUUACAUCAACCUAUGAGGAACAAAGUGAUCAUUAUUACAAUAAUCUCCUUAUUCUGAAGUAAAACCCUCCAAACAUGAUGAGACAGCAUGCAACUCUUAAAUCAAUAAAAUCCAGUUUCUACAGAUUAAAAUGGAGCUGGAGGACAGAGUUGGUGUUUCAGUGAGCAUCAGUAAAUGACAGAGAGACUGUAAAAAAAGGUCCUAACAGGUUAAAGUGGCUCUUACCUGCUGCUGUAUCUCUGCUCAGAGUGACUCUGCAGAUCAGCGGGCUGGUGGGUUUUUAUAGAGUCUCCAUACUUUCACUUUCAGUCUCCCUGUUUGAAAUCACUCACAUGAUUUACUGGAAAACUGAAACUGAGCCCAUCCCAGUCAAUGUGUCAAUGAGACAAACUUUAUCUAUGACGCACUUCUUACACAAUGUUGGUGCAACACAAAGAGAUGUACAGAAAAAGAAAAGGAAAGUCAAAAUAAAAACAACAAAAUUUUAAUCAAUAAAUGAGUUUAAAAAAAUAAUAGAUUAAAAAAACUUGAAAUUAAAAACACUUUAGGUGGAGUUUCUGUGGUCUGAGUUAUAACCCUGUCUGAGUUAUAACCCUGUCUGUAGUAUAACCCUGUCUGUAUCAUAAACCUGUCUGUAGGAUGAUCCUGUCUGUAGUAUAACCCUGUCUGUGUUUAAGUCUAAGUUCAUGUGUUCACUCUGGAGUUGUUUGGAGUUUCUUUUCUGUCAGAGACCACCCUCUAAAAACUGAGUUUUUCCUUUGACACAGAAGACUCUGAUAAACAUUCAUUUUCUGUAUUUCAGGAUGAAUUUUGGGUCUCAUCAGGCUGUAACCCUUUUAGUGUUGAUGAUUAUGUUGAAUUAUCCCUAUUUUUUCAGAGCUGAGAGUGGAAAAACUUCGGUUGAAGACAAUUCAUGUUCAGAUGUCCUGAAGGGUGAAAUCAUGUCGAACUCGGUCAGAGGACUUUGUUUAAAGCAGCUACAGAGGGAACAACAGGAGGGUGAAAUAUUAACACAUGAUCACUUUAGACUUUUCAGUCUUUGACUUUCUGUCCAUGUUUGCAGACUGAGAGGUUUCUAAACAUUAUGGUGGAAAGUGUGUUAAAUAACCGUUAUCUGGAGAACAGGAUGUGGCGGUUAGGGAUGUGAGUGUCUGCAUGUCUUUAUUACUCUUUCACUUUCAAUAUGAGCACAAGAACAGCCCUGAUAGAGUGUUUCUCUUUUGGUUAGCAGUCAUUUUGCUGCAGUUCUCCUCUUUAAAGCGUCUCAAAACUGUGAUUUCUUCUGCAGCUCCUGGACUGAUAAACUGCAGAAACUCUGAGUUGUGUUUGUUGAUGGAAGAUGUUUCUGUGCUCAGAUGAAUAAACGACAGAGACACACAGAAACUCUGGAUGAAAACCUUCAGGAGCCCCCCAGUCAGACUGUCCCCCCCUGUUCUGUCUUUCCUGUUUUUCUAACAGGUCUGUGAUUCUUCUCUCUCUCAGCCCGGGUUUGUCGGGGAUUUCUCUUUGCCUGAUAUGAAACUUUCCCUUUCAGUCAGUUUCACCUGCUGCUGCCCUCCACACUCUCUCAGUGUCCUCGGUGUCCUGAAUCAGUUCACAAACAUUUAUUGAGUGUUACACUCAAUAAAUGUUUGUGAACUGAGGAGACGAACUGUUGAAGCUUUGAAGGUGGAAUUCUUUCCCAUUCUUGAUGUACAGCUUCAGUUGCUCAACAGUCCGGGGUCUCUGUUGUCCUAUUUUACGCUUCAUAAUGCUCCACACAUUUUCAAUGGGAAACAGGUCUGGACUGCAGGCAGGCCAGUCGAGUACCCGCACUCUUUAACUACGAAGUCACUCCGUUGUAACACGUGCAGAAUGUGGCGUGGCGUUGUCUCGCUGAAGUAAGCAGGAAGGCUGUCCAUGAAAAAGACGCUGCUUGGAUGGCAGCAUAUGUUGCUCUAAAACCUGUGUGUACCUUUCAGCAUGAAUGUUGCUUUCAGAGAUGUGUAAGUUACCCAGGCCUUGGGCACUAAUGCACCCCCAUACCAUCACAGACGCUGGCUUUUGAACUUUGCGUCUACAACAGUCCGGAUGGUUCUUUUCUGCUUUGGCCCGAAUGACACGACGUCCACUGUUUCCAAAAACAAUCUGAAAUGUGGACUCGUCAGACCACAGAACACUUUUACACUUUGCAUCAGUCCAUCUUCGAUGAGCUCGGGCCCAGAGAAGCCGGCAGCGUUUCUGGAUGUUGUUGAUCAAUGGCUUUCUCUUUGCUUAGUUGAGUUUUAACUUACAGAUGUAUCGACGAACUGUAUUUACUGACAGUGGUUUUCUGAAGUGUUCCUGAGUCCAUGUGAUCAUAUCCUUUACACAAUGAUGUCAGUUUUUGAUACAGUUCCACCUGAGGGGUCGAAGGUCACGGGCAUUCAAAGUUGGUUUCCGGCCGUGUCGCUUAUGUGCAGUGAUUUCUCCAGAUUCUCUGAACCUUUUGAUGAUAUUAUGGACUGUAGUUGAAAUCUCUAAAUUCUUUACAAUUGUACUUUGAGAAACGUUGUUCUUAAACUGUUCGACUAUUUGCUCACGCAGUUGUUCACAAAGUGGUGAACCUCGCCCCAUCCUUGCUUGUGAAUGACUGAGAAUUUUUGGCGAAGCUGCUUUUAUACCCAAUCAUGGCACCCACCUGUUCCCUAUUAGCCUGCUCACCUGUGGGAUGGUCCAAAUAGGUGUUUGAUGAGCAUUCCUCAAAUUUCUCACCUGUCCCGACUUCUUUGUCACGUGUUGCUGCCAUCAGAUUCUGUAUUCAAUUGAAUGUAGGUUGGAAAUGAUUUGCAAAUCGUUGCUGUAAGAAAAAUUGUAUGUGUAUGCUAUCACGUGUAUUUUAUCAUAAUCUAAGUAUUUUAAUCAUCAUUUACUGAAAAUCACUUGGUGUGAAUGCUUGCAGAAUCAUAUCUGUUUCUUUUUAAUGAGCAUGGGAAAGGAGAAGUAUGGCCUUAGAGUUGGGACUGAUACUUUUCCACUUUUAUGAAUCACCUCUCCCAGAUCUGUCUCCCAAAUAGUUUUAAAGGUCCCCUAUUAUGAAAGAUCCACUUUUGGGGUGGUUUUCUAACAAUAAUAUGCAUACCGGUAGGCCUGUCACGAUAACAAAUUUUGCUGGACGAUAAUUGUGCUACAAAUUAUCGCCGAUAAACGAUAUUAUUGACACCAUUUUUUAAAUUAUAGAUAAUGAUAUUAUAUGGCAUAAUAAUGCGAGUACACCAUGUCAAAAGGGAUAAACUUUAAUUUCCACACGAGAACAACACUGGUUGUUUUCGUUGACUAAAAUAUUUCCCUUUUCUCCCACGACGAAGACGUAACGUUGACGAGCUAAACAUAAGUCGGAGAUGACUAAAAUGUGACGAGACGAAAGUGCGUUUACGUUGAUGAGACGAGACGAAAAUGACGAACAGAGUUGCAAAACUCAGUCAGUUAAACGCUAAACAUAUAGGAGCAGCUUCAGUCCGCUCUGACAGCUCUCAUCAGCCUGCUGUGCUCCUCCAACACACAGACACGCACGCGCACACACACACGUGGAGUUUUGUGGUUGACGAAAACAAAACUGGUUUAAAGCCGAAAUAUUCCCACACUUGGGCUGUUGCGUUCGGUUUAGACACCAAAGCUGUCGUGUUCAUUCUGUUAGCUUGCUUUUCACUCACAAUGCUCACUUGCAGCACUGUAUCCAAAAAGUCUGUGUCUGUGUGCCUGUGCGCGCCAGCCCCCUCGUGACAAAGAUACUGAAUGACUGACAGGAGGGUUCACUAACUCCGUUCAUUCCGCUAUAGAGCCAACGCCCCCAGGUGCCGAGAACAAUGCGCAGAGUGAGACCUCUUCUCUCAUCCAGCGUGUUUGGUAGCGAGAGAGGAGGAAAACAAACGCACGUCAAUUAUCGAGGCUGGCAAAAUGACCGACCUCGUUUUUAUUUAUCGAGCGAUAAGGCGAUUUAUUGAUUAUCGCGACAGGCCUACAUACCGGACAUGAAAAAAUUUAAUUCUCUCCCACUCUUGCUUUCCCCUCCUUUCUGAAAACAUGAGCGCAAACGGGCGGAUGGAAAAGCUGUGCGGUUAUGAUGAACUUAAACCCGAUGCUGUGCAAAAAAUAAAAAUGCAUCAAAGUUAAUUUUGUUAUAUUUGACAUACCCAAGGGUGUGAUAGCAUGUAAAAAAUCUUCAGCCUCUGAUUACUUUUUAUAUUGAAAUUCUGUCAUUUUGUGUGAUUUUUUCUCUUUCCACCAAAUCAGUGACAUCACCUCUUAAUUUGGCAUUCAAGGGUUAAAAUUCAUAAUGAAAUAAUAAUAAAAAAUGUUAUGAUAAGGACUGAGCUUGACGAAUAGAUUUGAGCAAAAAAAAAAAAUUGUCUGGUAUGUUUUUAUAGCAGCUAAAGUAAGUGACCCAAAACAGCCAGAGAAAAUUAAAAAUACGUCAAAAUUAAACUUCAAAUUACGUCAAAUUAAACUUCUUUACCAAAAAUGAUUUCACUCUCUAAAAAAUAGCGAGUAUUUUGGUCAAAAAAAAGAGAGUAUUUUGCACCCUACUGGAUAAAAAAGCCACAAGGUGACACAAGGGUUAACAAACUUCUGAAAAUAAACAUUCAUGGAAAUGGAGGCACGAUCCAAAACAACAAUUGAGUCAUAUUUGCAGCCAGAAAUGUUGGAUAACAACUUAUUAUUCACUAGAAAAAAAAUCAAUUCAAGUGUAAGUAUGAUGAAUAUGAAAGAAAAAAAAGAGUAUUCCCUUUUAUCUGGAUCGAAAAAACGCCAAGGGUUAACAACAUUAACCUUGUUUAUAAAGGCUUGAAUCACUUUGGUCGACUUGGAUUGGGAAGAAUGGUUUAAGUAUGGAUUAAUCCAGCAGUUGAAGUCUCCACCUAAGAUUAAAUCAUACAUGGACAAGUCAGGUAGCAUUGAGAAAACCUGUCUAAAAAAAGACUCAUCAUCCCAGUUGGGGUCAUAAAAAUGUGUCCUAUGACCUGCAAUAAACCUGCCACCAGAAUCAGACAUUGUCUCAAUAUAAACAAAAGGAAUAUCAAAAGGAUUUGGCUCCCCCCUGUGGACCGAAGCAGAGAGAGCAUCAAAAAUAACAACAGGUAAAAGGAGGAGAGAAGGAAACAAGGGAGGAGAGGAGGAAAUAAGGAAGGAGGGAAGGAGAAAACAAAAGAGAGGGGAAGGAAACAAAAGAAGGGAGGAUGAAAUAAGGGUGGAGAAAGGAGGAAUAGCGGUAGUUCAGGCAGGUCACUGAGUCAAGCUGAUCUUAAACCAGCCCUCAGUUAGCUUACAGCUCAGGUGAUCGCCCUCUACACAUCCUAUUGGCUAAUGUCAAAAUGGCGCCCUAUUUCUCCUGUCUACUUUGCGUUUUCCUACCUUGCUCUUCAUCAUCUCGAUCCCUGCCCACGACAAGGAUCCACGGCAGAUUGACCGCUUUCUGAAACGCAGCACCAGCAUGUGAGGUCGAGGAAGCCAGUCCUCGCAAUGACAGAUGCGUUCCCUUCCGCACGAGCUCUCCUCUGGCAAGUAGAACUUUUAUUUCUCCCAGCUUCAUGAAGUCCAGGCUCCCGGAAGUCCUUUAAAGAUAACAUCACAGCUCCCGGUGGUGCCUCACAUCAAUAUCCACAUAGAGCCCCCACUUGCAGUUCUCUCUUCCUCCUCUGUAUCCAGAAAAGCGACCGAGAAAAGAAAACGCUGUUCCCGCCGCGUCACGGCAGUUCAGCUUCAGCCGCCGCGUCAUCGCCGCCGCCCGCAGAGCGCGAGGCCCAACCCCAGCCACCAGAACCGCAGACGUGGACGACAAUCCCAUCCUAAAAGCACUAUCCAGCAUCCAACCAUCGCUCGCCCACAUGUCUUCGAGGAUCGAAGCCCCAGAAUCCGGUUCGGUACGUGCUAAGCUGUCCUCCUUCAUCCCAGCUGUCACCUUCUUUCAC